rnacentral:rRNA from 1 species
UAAGCGGAGGAAAAGAAACUAACAAGGAUUCCCCUAGUAGCGGCGAGCGAAGCGGGAAGAGCUCAAAUUUAUAAUCUGGCACUUUCAGUGUCCGAGUUGUAAUCUCUAGAAGUGUUUUCCGCGUUGGACCGCACACAAGUCUGUUGGAAUACAGCGGCACAGUGGUGACACCCCCGUACACGGUGCGGACGCCCAGCGCUUUGUGAUACACUUUCGAAGAGUCGAGUUGUUUGGGAAUGCAGCUCAAAUUGGGUGGUAAAUUCCAUCUAAAGCUAAAUAUUGGCGAGAGACCGAUAGCGAACAAGUACCGUGAGGGAAAGAUGAAAAGCACUUUGGAAAGAGAGUUAACAGUACGUGAAAUUGUUGGAAGGGAAACGCUUGAAGUCAGACUUGCUUGCCGGAGCUUGCUUCGGUUUGCAGGCCAGCAUCAGUUUUCCGGGGUGGAUAAUGGCGGUUAGAAGGUAGCAGCUUCAGCUGUGUUAUAGCUUUCCGCUGGAUACAUCCUGGGGGACUGAGGAACGCAGCGUGCUUUUAGCGGGGGUUUCGACCUCUUCACGCUUAGGAUGCUGGUGUAAUGGCUUUAAACGACCCGUCUUGAAACACG